UUGACCUCAAAUCAGGUAGGACUACCCGCUGAACUUAAGCAUAUCAAUAAGCGGAGGAAAAGAAACUAACAAGGAUUCCCCUAGUAACUGCGAGUGAAGCGGGAAAAGCUCAAAUUUAAAAUCUGGCGGUCCCUGUGGCCGUCCGAGUUGUAAUUUAGAGAAGUGUUAUCCGCGCUGGACCGUGUACAAGUCUCCUGGAAUGGAGCGUCAUAGAGGGUGAGAAUCCCGUCUUUGACACGGACUGCCAGGGCAUUGUGAUGCGCUCUCGAAGAGUCGAGUUGUUUGGGAAUGCAGCUCAAAAUGGGUGGUAAAUUCCAUCUAAAGCUAAAUAUUGGGGAGAGACCGAUAGCGAACAAGUACCGUGAGGGAAAGAUGAAAAGAACUUUGGAAAGAGAGUUAAACAGUACGUGAAAUUGCUGAAAGGGAAACGCUUGAAGUCAGUCGCGUCGUUCAGGACUCAGCCUUGCUUUUUGCUUGGUGUACUUCUUGUUCGACGGGUCAGCAUCAAUUUUGGUCGGUGGAUAAAGGCUUGGAGAAUGUGGCAUCUUCGGGUGUGUUAUAGCUCUGGGUCGCAUACAUCGGCUGGGAUUGAGGAACUCAGCACGCCGCAAGGCCGGGUACUUGUACCACGUACGUGCUUAGGAUGCUGGCAUAAUGGCUUUAAUCGACCCGUC
rnacentral:rRNA from 1 species